GAAACCUCCAUCAGAACUAGAACCAGGAUGAACCACAACCAUCUUUUUCGACGGUCAUCUAUGCAUAGACGUAUGUCAAUGAAUCAAUGUAUGUAGAUUUUCCAAGUGACCUUCAACGUCUGUUCUGCGUCAGCGUCCGCGAGCGACGCACAUUCUUCUUCUUGAAUGUCUGCUCAGACUGAGAGAAACCUGAUUGCUGCUUUGGCUGACUACCUGACCUCUGAUCCCUGCUCUGACUGACGCAGAGAGAACCGGACCAGAACUCCUGCUUGGCUGGUGAUCAGAUUUCUAGUCACUGAGUUUCAGUCCAUCACAUCACUGAGUAUAGUAGUGUUUCACAUUUUAAUCACAGAGUUUUUGUGGUUUAUCACAACUGCUGAGUUCACACAUGAAUAUAAAUGUAGUGAAAACAGACCUGUAAACAUUGACUGAAGUCAUGUUAUAGCCAUGUGAGCUGAGCUGUUCUGCCUGUAAAGUGGAUCAGAACAGGUCCCAGCAGCAGAGUCUGACAGUAGAAAGCUGACAGUUGAAAGCUGACAGUUUUAAUGGAACAUCACUGAAGGCAGAAAUCAGUGUGUAAUGUGAGCAGAACAUGUUGUGCAGUGAUCAGUUCUGUACUGUUCUGCUUCAUGUUGAACAAGUCAGUGGGUCUUGAGAUUAUGUUAAUCAAGUCCACAUUUCAUAGUACCAGCUGUUUUCACACAGAUCUGGAAACUACUGGCCUAAAAAGUGAUUUAUUUAACUUUCUCAAUAUUCUGUUUAUUUGAAGCCAUUAAAUGUUGAACUGUUUACACAUCUUAUGUAACAUAAUGCUAGAUUAGAUUACUGAAAUGAACAAUGUCUAAUUAUUGUUUUCUCUGUGUCUUCCUGUUCAACGUGUCUCCUCUCAUUGUCCCUAUCAUUAUUGGACAUUCUGUCUUUCCUGUCCCACCUACCCCCUCUAUCUAAUCCCUCUAUCUAAUUUUUGGAAAUUCUAUCUUGUAUCCAUCUAUCCCCCUCUAUCUAAUAUUUGGACAUUCUAUCUUGUAUCCAUCUAUCCCCCUCUAUCUAAUAUUUGGACAUUCUAUCUUGUAUCCAUCUAUCCCCCUCUAUCUAAUAUUUGGACAUUCUAUCUUGUAUCCAUCUACCCCCCUCCAUCUAAUAUUUGGACAUUCUAUCUUGCAUCCAUCUGUCCCCCCUCUAUCUAAUAUUUGGACAUUCUAUCUUGUAUCCUUCUGUCCCCCCUCUAUCUAAUAUUUGGAUUUGCUUUGGCUUACCAGAAUUUCUUUGGCUUACCAGAAUUGCUUUGGCUCACCAUAUUUGAUUUGGCUCAUCAGAAUUGCUUUGGCUCACCACAAUUGCUUUGGCUCACCAUAUUUGCUUUGGCUCAUCAGAAUUGCUUUGGCUCACCAGAUUUGCUUUGGCUCACCACAAUUGCUUUGGCUCACCACAAUUGCUUUGGCUCACUGUUCUCAGAACCAGAUUUGCUUUGGCUCAACGUUCUCGGAACCAGAUUUGUUUUGGAAAACCAAGGUUGAUUGGAACCUUUCCUUGCUGUUUCAGAAAUCUGAGAUCUCACCCAAUUAAUGUAGUUUAUUCUUACUGAGUAAAACUCUAACUACCAUAUUUAUUUAUUUUUGUCUGCUGGUAAAAGUUCAAGACAAAUUGUACUUCGUCUUGAGUUUGUAUAUUUCCUUGAUAAUAAUUUUCUCUGUGGUGUGACCGAGUACUUAAAACAUAUUACUUAUCUUCUGGAUAUUUACUGUUUUGUCCUAUAAAACCUGUUAUUGAGUUGU